GUGUUGGUCCCGUGCGAUACGGCCCGUGAACCCCGUCAGGACCGGAAGGUAGCAGCGGUAAGCGGUCACCCGUAUGUGCCGCGGGCGUGCCUGCUCAGC
rnacentral:SRP_RNA from 1 species